rnacentral:rRNA from 1 species
GUAAUACCGUAUACGCCCUACGGGGGAAAGAUUUAUCGGAGAAGGAUUAGCCCGCGUUGGAUUAGGUAGUUGGUGGGGUAAUGGCCUACCAAGCCUACGAUCCAUAGCUGGUUUGAGAGGAUGAUCAGCCACACUGGGACUGAGACACGGCCCAGACUCCUACGGGAGGCAGCAGUGGGGAAUCUUAGACAAUGGGGGAAACCCUGAUCUAGCCAUGCCGCGUGAGUGAUGAAGGCCUUAGGGUUGUAAAGCUCUUUCAGCUGGGAAGAUAAUGACGGUACCAGCAGAAGAAGCCCCGGCUAACUCCGUGCCAGCAGCCGCGGUAAUACGGAGGGGGCUAGCGUUGUUCGGAAUUACUGGGCGUAAAGCGCACGUAGGCGGACUGGAAAGUUGGAGGUGAAAUCCCAGGGCUCAACCUUGGAACUGCCUUCAAAACUAUCAGUCUGGAGUUCGAGAGAGGUGAGUGGAAU